rnacentral:rRNA from 1 species
CCUACGGUGGGCUGCAGUGAGGAAUAUUGGUCAAUGGGCGCGAGCCUGAACCAGCCAAGUAGCGUGAAGGAUGACUGCCCUACGGGUUGUAAGCUUCUUUUAUAAAGGAAUAAAGUGAGGCACGUGUGCCUUUUUGUAUGUACUUUAUGAAUAAGGAUCGGCUAACUCCGGGCCAGCAGCCGCGGUAAUACGGAGGAUCCGAGCGUUAUCCGGAUUGAUUGUGUUUAAAGGGAACGGAGAUGGGUUGUUAAGUCAGUUGUGAAAGUUUGCGGCUGAACCGGAAAAGUGCAAUUGAUACUGGCAGUCUUGAGUAUAGUUGAGGUAGGUGGAAGUCGAGGUGUAGCGGUGAAAUGCUUAGAUAUCAGGAAGAACACCGAUUGCGAAGGCAGCCUACUAAACUGAGACUGACAUUGAUGUGCGAAAGUGUGGGUAUCAAACAGGAUUAGAUACCCGGGUAGUC